UGUGUUGUAGCUCAGUGGUAGAGUGUUUGCCUGGCAUGUAUGAGGCACUGGGUUUGAUCCUCAGCACCACAC
rnacentral:tRNA from 1 species